rnacentral:rRNA from 1 species
AGAGUUUGAUCAUGGCUCAGAGCGAACGCUGGCGGCAGGCCUAACACAUGCAAGUCGAACGAGCCUUCGGGCUAGUGGCGGACGGGUGAGUAACACGUGGGAACGUACCUUUAGGUUCGGAACAACACAGGGAAACUUGUGCUAAUACCGAAUGUGCCCUUCGGGGGAAAGAUUUAUCGCCUUUAGAGCGGCCCGCGUUAGAUUAGCUAGUUGGUGAGGUAAAGGCUCACCAAGGCUACGAUCUAUAGCUGGUCUGAGAGGAUGAUCAGCCACAUUGGGACUGAGACACGGCCCAAACUCCUACGGGAGGCAGCAGUGGGGAAUCUUGCGCAAUGGUCGAAAGACUGACGCAGCCAUGCCGCGUGAAUGAUGAAGGUCUUAGGAUUGUAAAAUUCUUUCAGCAGGGACGAUAAUGACGGUACCUGCAGAAGAAGCCCCGGCUAACUUCGUGCCAGCAGCCGCGGUAAUACGAAGGGGGCUAGCGUUGCUCGGAAUUACUGGGCGUAAAGGGAGCGUAGGCGGGUUAUCAAGUUGGAGGUGAAAGCCCAGGGCUCAACCUUGGAAUUGCCUUCAAAACUGAUAGCCUAGAGUAUGAUAGAGGUAAGUGGAACUCCGAGUGUAGAGGUGAAAUUCGUAGAUAUUCGGAAGAACACCAGUGGCGAAGGCGACUUACUGGAUCAUGACUGACGCUGAGGCUCGAAAGCGUGGGGAGCAAACAGGAUUAGAUACCCUGGUAGUCCACGCUGUAAACGAUGAUUGCUAGUUGUCAGCCGGCAUGCCGGUUGGUGACGCA